UACGUAGGGGGCGAGCGUUGUCCGGAAUCAUUGGGCGUAAAGCGCGUGUAGGCGGCCCGGUAAGUCCGCUGUGAAAGUCCAGGGCUCAACCCUGGGAUGCCGGUGGAUACUGUCGGGCUCGAGUCCGGAAGAGGCGAGUGGAAUUCCUGGUGUAGCGGUGAAAUUCGUAGAUAUUGGGAAGAACACCGGUGGCGAAGGCGGCGACCUGGUCCGUUUUACUGACGCUGAGGCGCGAAGCGUGGGAGC
rnacentral:rRNA from 1 species